CUUUGGGGUUUUUUAGUACUAUCUGGUUUUGUUAUCAAAGUAAUUCUAUGAUCACAAAAUUAACUGGCAUAGUAUCCUUUCUGCCUUAUUCUUUUGGUCAAGUCAUCAGAGCCAGGAUCAAGGGGAGAGCACAUAGAGUGCAAAGAACUUUGGGGCCACAUUUAAAGCCACCAUAAAAUUCAAUUAGGCAUUCUGAAUUAUGACUCAAAAGGCAUUAUUUCAGGAACAAUUUAAUGGGGAAUAAUACUGUGCUUUCAGAACAUCACAGGCUAAACUUUUGGGUGGGGGCAGAAAGAAGGGAACCAUCUGCCUUUGUGGCUUGUCUGCAUUGUUUCUAUGGGAAAUGUGUUCUGAAUUCCUAAAACAAUGUGCAAACAAGCUUUUUUAACUCAACCCUUUGUUUGCUGUAUGAUGUUUCUUAAUUCUGAAAUGUAAAAAGCCAGUGGGGGUAAGUUGUACAAGGUGACUGGCAGGACCUGCUGGAGCUGAAAAGGAAUUGGAACUUCUUCUUCAUGGACUUCCAUCAUAGAAGCUAACGCCACAGAGGCUCAGUCGACUUUGUUCCUCUGCCUACCACCACCUCUGGGUUCUGGAACAGAAUAUCAGACCAAAUUCUGUCAUAGAUGGCAGUACAUGUGACAAUGCCAUCCUCAUGUCAGCAUGCCAGAUGCAGGCAUUGUCCUUAUCAGGAAGAACUGACCGGACCACACAGCAGCAACAGCAUCCCUCACAGUUGGCAUGCAGCUCUGAGGUUCUCAAACUCAGAACGACUGAAAAGAGGUGCCUCCUCGGUUGCAAGAAUUGAAGAAAGCUCUACUUCCCAGAUGCAAGACCAUGCUGCAAGGCUUAUCCAGUACUCCAGUUUCAGACAUGAGAGCGAAUCUACCCAGGACUAGAAGCCAUCAUCCUGAGGUCACAUCUCUGCCUCCUCACCC
rnacentral:lncRNA from 1 species